rnacentral:sRNA from 2 species
ACCUGCAGCAGGUUCGAGUUGAGCGCAGCGAAACAACGGAGCCGCUCGCGGCGACGGCCCGAAGGGCGAGCGAAGCGAGUCAUCCUGCACGACCCACCA